AGAACGAACGCUGGCGGCAUGCCUAACACAUGCAAGUCGAACGCUUGCCCGGUUUCGGCCGGGCAGGAGUGGCGCACGGGUGAGUAGCGCGUGGGAACCUGCCCUGUUGUGGGGGAUAACCGAGGGAAACUUCGGCUAAUACCGCAUGCGCCCGGAGCAAUCCGGGGAAAGAUUUAUCGCAGCAGGAGGGGCCCGCGUCGGAUUAGGUAGUUGGUGGGGUAACGGCCCACCAAGCCUGUGAUCCGUAGCUGGUCUGAGAGGAUGAUCAGCCACACUGGGACUGAGACACGGCCCAGACUCCUACGGGAGGCAGCAGUGGGGAAUAUUGGACAAUGGGCGCAAGCCUGAUCCAGCAAUGCCGCGUGAGUGAUGAAGGCCUUAGGGUUGUAAAGCUCUUUCGCCCGCGACGAUGAUGACGGUAGCGGGAGAAGAGCCCGGCUAACUCGUGCCAGCAGCCGC
rnacentral:rRNA from 1 species